GUACUUACUUUAGCAGCACAUGUGCUAAAAUUGGAACAAUACAGAGAAUAUUACCAUGUACCCUGUGCAAGGAUGACAUGCAAAUUCAUGAAGUGUUGUUAUGUUUU